rfam:Gossypium raimondii chromosome 11, whole genome shotgun sequence.
AUUCCAUAAUAAGGGCACUUUCGUAACAAUUCUUUAAACCUUUCCCAUGCCUCAUACAAGGACUCGUCAUUCAUCUGUUGAAAGGUAAUGAUCUCAUUUUGUAACU